GGCCUCCCAGUACGGUUUGGAGUCUUCCACGGCUUUACCGAUCUUCUUGACCUGCUCGUCCAGCUUGACCGUGGCCUCCACUAGGACGGCGCGAAACUUCUGCCGGGAGUCCUGAAGAACAGAGACCUCUUUGGAUUUCUCUCCCGAUUCAAGCUUUGAACCUCGGUGAUGUUUGUUUCUCACAAACGUGCAGCUUUUCCCUUCGCUAGACGUCAGCCGAUGGACUGGAGUGGUGUGGGUCGCUCGUUGAUUGCUGCGACUCUCACCCUGACGGCACCCAUGCGCCGCAGAACAUCCGUUUGAGAGCGACCGACCUACAUCUCGAAGGAAGGUUUAUCAGUUUCCAGCUGAGCACACUGACCCGUUUUAGU